ensembl:snRNA LOC120093283 U6 spliceosomal RNA
GUGCUCGCUUCAGCAGCACAUAUACUAAAAUUGGAAUAAUACAAAGAAGAUUAGCAUGACCCCUGCACAAGUAUGACACGAAAAUUCAAGAAGCGUUCCAUAUUUUU